rnacentral:ribozyme from 14 species
UGUGAGAAUGGUAGGACAAGCAUCAUGAGUGACUAUGAUGAGCCUUUUUUCUCAUUAUAAAUAUUUCAUUAUUUAUUAUAUAAUAUAUUAUAUAAAAUGU